rnacentral:rRNA from 1 species
AUACGUAGGGGGCGAGCGUUGUCCGGAAUGAUCGGGCGUAAAGGGCGCGUAGGCGGCCCGGUAAGUCUGGAGUGAAAGUCCUGUUUUUAAGAUGGGAAUUGCUUUGGAUACUGUCGGGCUUGAGUGCAGGAGAGGUAAGUGGAAUUCCCAGUGUAGCGGUGAAAUGCGUAGAGAUUAGGAGGAACACCAGUGGCGAAGGCGACUUACUGGACUGUAACUGACGCUGAGGCGCGAAAGUGUGGGGAGCAAACAGGAUUAGAUACCCUGGUAGUCCACACUGUAAACGAUGAAUGCUAGGUGUAGGGGGUAUCGACCCCUUCUGUGCCGCAGUCAACACAAUAAGCAUUCCGCCUGGGGAGUACGGCCGCAAGGUUGAAACUCAAAUGAAUUGACGGGG